GAUGAGGGUCUGUCUUUCCUCCACUUUUCUAACUCCUUCUCCGUUUGCUUCUCCAGAUCUCUGGCUGACAGCUGCACCGAGCACACCUGAGAAAGGAAGAAAAACACUUACUAAAAGCUAGCGUCAUCUUCCUCUUGGACCUGCUCCCUGACGCCCCUCAGCCUCUCCAGAGUCUCCAUCUGGCCCUGACACUGCUUCCUCUGCUCAGCCCGGCCCAGCACCCGACGCACCAGCACCACCGCCACCUGCAGCAGCACCCGCACCCCUGCACAGAAGAGACGAGAGGUAGAAAUGACAUCACAGGGAACAAUGGCAGCCUACAUGGAGGACGUACCAUAGCAGAAAAAGAGGUCCCAGACUCGGAGCAGUGUGUUGAAGGGCAGGUGACGUGUGAAGAGACACAUCAGCCAGUCGGUGGCGAACAUGAGGGGCUCCACUCCGUGGUGCUGCAGG